rnacentral:rRNA from 1 species
UACGGGGGGGGCAAGCGUUGUUCGGAAUUACUGGGCGUAAAGGGUUCGUAGGUGGCCAACUAAGUCAGACGUGAAAUCCCUCAGCUUAACUGGGGAACUGCGUCUGAUACUGGUUGGCUUGAGUGCAGGAGAGGAACGCGGAAUUCCAGGUGUAGCGGUGAAAUGCGUAGAUAUCGUCUGGAACGCCAAAGGUGAAAACAGACUGCUGGGAGUGUGCUGACGCUGAGACACGAAAGCCAGGGGAGCAAACGGG